rnacentral:rRNA from 1 species
GAUGAACGCUGGCGGCGUGCCUAAUACAUGCAAGUAGAACGCUGAAGGAGGAGCUUGCUCUUCUGGAUGAGUUGCGAACGGGUGAGUAACGCGUAGGUAACCUGCCUGGUAGCGGGGGAUAACUAUUGGAAACGAUAGCUAAUACCGCAUGACAACAGUUAUUGCAUGAUAACUGUUUAAAAGGGGCAACUGCUCCACUACCAGAUGGACCUGCGUUGUAUUAGCUAGUUGGUGAGGUAACGGCUCACCAAGGCGACGAUACAGAGCCGACCUGAGAGGGUGGUCGGCCAGACUGGGACGGGGACACGGCCCAGGCGCCUACGGGGGGGAGCAGUAGGGAAGCGUCGGGAAUGGGCGGAAGGCUGGACGAGCAACGCCGCGGGAGUGGAGAAGGUUUUCGGGUCGUAAAGCUCUGUUGUAAGAGAAGAACGAGUGUGAGAGUGGAAAGUUCACACUGUGACGGGAUCUUACCAGAAAGAGACGGCUAACUACGUG